rnacentral:rRNA from 1 species
GACGAACGCUGGCGGCGUGCUUAACACAUGCAAGUCGAACGGUGAAGCGCCUUCCUUUUUGGUGGGUGUGGAUGAGUGGCGAACGGGUGAGUAACACGUGAGUAACCUGCCCCCUUCUUCUGGAUAACCGCAUGAAAGUGUGGCUAAUACGGGAUAUUCUGGGUCUGUCGCAUGAUGGGUCUGGGAAAGAUAUUGUUUCGGUGGGGGAUGGGCUCGCGGCCUAUCAGCUUGUUGGUGGGGUGAUGGCCUACCAAGGCGGUGACGGGUAGCCGGCCUGAGAGGGUGGACGGUCGCACUGGGACUGAGACACGGCCCAGACUCCUACGGGAGGCAGCAGUGGGGAAUAUUGCACAAUGGGCGCAAGCCUGAUGCAGCGUCGCCGCGUGGGGGAUGGAGGCCUUCGGGUUGCGAACCUCUUUCGCCAGUGAAGCAGGCCUGCCUCGUUUGUGGGUGGGUUGACGGUAGCUGGAUAAGAAGCGCCGGCUAACUACGUG